rnacentral:lncRNA from 1 species
GUCAAAAUAUAAUUUCAUAAAUUAUGCAUAAUUCAAAGAAUAAUUAUUUACUUUCAAAAUAAAUUAUAAAAUAUCUCGAGAAGAUAGUUCAUCACUUGCAUUUCAUAAAACACUGAAUGAACAGAUCGAUUAACCUUGAGAGAAUUUUUCAGAACCUAUUAUUCAACAUUAUAUUGUUAUAUUAAUUCUAAUUUAUAACUAAAUCAAAAUAAAAUUUCAAAUCAAAAUUUCACUUA